rnacentral:misc_RNA from 1 species
GAUGAAGAACGCAGCGAAAUGCGGUAAGUAAUGUGAAUUGCAGAAUUCAGUGAAUCAUCGAGUCUUUGAACGCACAUUGCGCCCCCUGGUAUUCCGGGGGGCAUGCCUGUCCGAGCGUCAUUGCUGCCCUCAAGCACGGCUUGUGUGUUGGGCCCCCGUCCCCGGUUUCCCCCGGGGACGGGCCCGAAAGGCAGCGGCGGCACCGCGUCCGGUCCUCGAGCGUAUGGGGCUUUGUCACCCGCUCUGUAGGCCCGGCCGGCGCCAGCCGACACCCAACUUUAUUUCUAAGGUUGACCUCGGAUCAGGUAGGGAUACCCGCUGAACUUAAGCAUAUCAAUAAGCGGAGGA